rnacentral:tRNA from 1 species
GAGGGCACAGCUCAGGGGCAGAGCACAUGCUUAGCAUGCAGGAGGUCCUGGGUUCCAUCCCCAGUACCUCCA